CGUUCUGUCCCCAUGACAACAGCAGGAAACCGCGAUUGGCUUCUGGACUGCACGGCCGCCAUGGCCAAUUGGACUCUACGCGGCGCGGAAUCCGCGAACCGCCCUCGGUCCUGAGGGUGCAGCUCCUGAACUGACUGGCGCUGUCCUGCCCCAUGGACGCCUCCUCUAGCCCGUGGAAUCCAGCCCCAGCUCCUGUCAGCAGUCCUUCCCUGCUGCUCCCCAUUCCUGCCAUCGUCUUCAUCGCAGUGGGCAUCUAUUUGUUGUUGCUGGGCCUAGUGCUGUUGACUAGGCAUUGCCUGCUGGUGAGGGGCCUCGUGGGGGCUGAAGAGUGGGCUCUGGGGAGAAGGAACCUGGUAAAUCUGUGCCCUCAUCUGCAUGCCCUUACCCUGAGACUCCUUGCCAUUUAUUUAGUCCCCACAUCUGUCCCUUCCAUGAGACCAAAAAGUCCCUCCUCUGCUGUUACUUGCUGAACCUCCUCUUGCCCCUCUCCCCAAAACCUUGUCUUGGCUGUCUCUACUUGCCACCUGGCCCAGAUUCUGAGCCCUGUCAUC